GUUUUUGUUUGUCCGCUCUCCGCGUCAGUGUAUUAUAAUACGAUAAUGUAAUAUAAUAUACAUAACGUUCAAUAAUUAUACGCGUCUCCGCGCUCGGUUAGGCACGAAUGACGACAAAACGUGUCAAUUCAUUACUCGCGAAUUCCUCGCCAAUCGAAGUUACGACCGGUACAACAUAAUAUUAUCAUUAUUUUAUUUUUACCAAUAUAUAGGUAUUAUAAGUGCCUAUACGUAUUGUGCGGCGUUGUUAUUUGAGUCGUGUUUGAUGAUGAUGAUAAUGAUGAUGACGCACGUUGUGAGGGCGCGGUCAGGGGUCAUGACUGACAACAGGACACCGCGUGGCAAAUCAACAAAAUUCCCGAUAGACAAUCUCGAAUAAAACUUAAACGCUAUCAUAUUAGUUUAGACGGAACACUUUAUUGUAUAUACAUAUAUAAUACUCUCCCGCGAUAUUAUUAAAUCGUUCUGCCAAAAUUAAGUGCACUUGAAAAACUAAAAAUCUAACUAGAAAAUUAAUACGUAAAGCAGCAACGUGUCUGAAGUUCAAACCUACAAGGGAUCAUUAAUACAACAAUAAAUAUCUAUCGGCGUAUCGCUAUAUAAGUGAACAGUAUCAUUUUUUUCGUAAAUAUUGAUAUUGAAUUUCACUUAAAAACAGUCAACCUCGCAAUUGGAAAAGGUACCGUAAGAAAAAAUUGUGAUGAAUUGAAAUUUAAAAUGGGCUUUCUUUAUAUAUUAUAGUCAACAAAAUUGUUGUGCUUAACAAAAUAAUAAUCUACUAUAUACAUCUGAUGAAGUGAUGAUACAGACGAAACAACUAUAUAAUGAA